rnacentral:rRNA from 1 species
GACGAACGCUGGCGGCGUGCUUAACACGUGCAAGUCGAACGGAAAGGCCCUGCUUUUGUGGGGUGCUCGAGUGGCGAACGGGUGAGUAACACGUGAGUAACCUGCCCUUGACUUUGGGAUAACUUCAGGAAACUGGGGCUAAUACCGGAUAGGAGCUCCUGCUGCAUGGUGGGGGUUGGAAAGUUUCGGCGGUUGGGGAUGGACUCGCGGCUUAUCAGCUUGUUGGUGGGGUAGUGGCUUACCAAGGCUUUGACGGGUAGCCGGCCUGAGAGGGUGACCGGCCACAUUGGGACUGAGAUAUGGCCCAGACUCCUACGGGAGGCAGCAGUGGGGAAUAUUGCACAAUGGGCGGAAGCCUGAUGCAGCAACGCCGCGUGCGGGAUGACGGCCUUCGGGUUGUAAACCGCUUUCGCCUGUGACGAAGCGUGAGUGACGGUAAUGGGUAAAGAAGCACCGGCUAACUACGUG